rnacentral:rRNA from 1 species
UACGAAGGGGGCUAGCGUUGUUCGGAAUUACUUGGCGUAAAGCGCACGUAGGCGGAUACUUAAGUCAGGGGUGAAAUCCCGGGGCUCGACCCCGGAACUGCCUUUGAUACUGGGUAUCUCGAGUCCGGAAGAGGUGAGUGGAAUUCCGAGUGUAGAGGUGAAAUUCGUAGAUAUUCGGAGGAACACCAGUGGCGAAGGCGGCUCACUGGUCCGGUACUGACGCUGAGGCACGAAAGCGUGGGGAGCAAACAGG